AUAUUACUUCCUCUGUUCGGAAAUACUUGUCGAAGAAUGGAUGUAUCUAGAUACAUUUUAGUUCUAGAUACAUUCAUUUCUAUCCAUUUUGCGACAAGUAAUUCUGAACGAAGGAAGUAUUAA
rnacentral:pre_miRNA from 1 species